GGCUCAGAUUGAACGCUGGCGGCAUGCCUUACACAUGCAAGUCGAACGGCAGCACGGGCUUCGGUCUGGUGGCGAGUGGCGAACGGGUGAGUAAUGUAUCGGAACGUACCUUUCAGUGGGGGAUAACGUAGCGAAAGUUACGCUAAUACCGCAUAUUCUGUGAGCAGGAAAGCAGGGGAUCGCAAGACCUUGCGCCGAUUGAGCGGCCGAUAUCAGAUUAGCUAGUUGGUGGGGUAAAGGCCUACCAAGGCUACGAUCUGUAGCGGGUCUGAGAGGAUGAUCCGCCACACUGGAACUGAGACACGGUCCAGACUCCUACGGGAGGCAGCAGUGGGGAAUUUUGGACAAUGGGGGCAACCCUGAUCCAGCCAUGCCGCGUGAGUGAAGAAGGCCUUCGGGUUGUAAAGCUCUUUCAGGUGGAAAGAAAUCUCCCGGGUGAAUACCCUGGGAGGAUGACGGUACCAUCAGAAGAAGCACCGGCUAACUACGUGCCAGCAGCCGCGGUAAUACGUAGGGUGCGAGCGUUAAUCGGAAUUACUGGGCGUAAAGCGUGCGCAGGCGGUUGUGUAAGACAGAUGUGAAAUCCCCGGGCUCAACCUGGGAACUGCGUUUGUGACUGCACAACUAGAGUACGGCAGAGGGAGGUGGAAUUCCGCGUGUAGCAGUGAAAUGCGUAGAGAUGCGGAGGAACACCGAUGGCGAAGGCAGCCUCCUGGGCCAGUACUGACGCUCAUGCACGAAAGCGUGGGGAGCAAACAGGAUUAGAUACCCUGGUAGUCCACGCCCUAAACGAUGUCAACUAGUUGUUCGGUGAGGAGACUCAUUGAGUAACGCAGCUAACGCGUGAAGUUGACCGCCUGGGGAGUACGGCCGCAAGGUUAAAACUCAAAGGAAU
rnacentral:rRNA from 1 species